rnacentral:ncRNA from 1 species
AACCGUUACCGGAAGGUAACGCUGAACGUACAGAAGUCAGCAGAGGCCAUAGUAGCUGGAAGUUUUUUUCGGUGAAGGGC